rnacentral:rRNA from 1 species
GUAACCGUCGAGGAGCCGUUCAGGGUAAAACCGGUGACUGGGGCUAAGUCGUAACAAGGUAGCCGUACCGGAAGGUGCGGCUGGAACACCUCCUUU